rnacentral:lncRNA from 10 species
GAACAUCAGACUCCAAGUUCUUCUGUUUUGGGACUCGGACUGGCUUUCCUUGCUCCUCAGCUUGCAGACAGACUAUUGUGGAACCUUGUGAUGGUGUUAUUUCUGGACACAGUAAUCCUUCAGCAAUACAAUUACCAAGUUAUUCAACAUGGAAGGCUUUGCCAAGACAGUGGUGGCUGGGAUUUGACCCUCUAAGUGUGAGGUUUCUGUGCUGAGGCAGAAAAGAGGAAAGCUGGACCACACCCAGCCAGGACUACACGUGCAGGGUCAUCCAUUCCUUUAUUAGCAAAUAUUCAUGAAUGCCCACUAUGUGCAACACACGGUGCUUGGUGCAAGCAUACAGUGAUGAAUCAAGUAGAGAAGGCCCUGCCCUUAUGGAGCUUACAGCCUGGCUGUGGGAUUUUUGGAAAAGAAAAUAAACCUACAGUUAAAAGAAAAAAGAAAACAAUGAAAAUAGAAGCUGAGCUUAGCUGAGGAUAUGAAUAACGAAAAGCAACCACCUUACCGCAAAACAACUCUAAGAAGUAGGAUUAUCAUCACUCAAUUUACAGGCAUCCAUGUCCUCCAGGAUAUAAAGGAAGAAGUUGAGGGAUGGAUGCAGAGUAUACUAUUCUCCACCAUUACAAAUUGGGCACCUUUGCUUUUGAAUGAGUGACCACAGCCCUGGAAACUUGUAUGCUUUGCUAAUUGAGGGCAGAUGAGCCUCAGGUCAAUCCCCCAUCAAUUAUCCACUCAACAACAAUAAAAUGCUAACUUGUAUGCCCUA